UUUUAAACUAUGUAGUGGUAUUGCAUCAUAGGCAUAUUAAGCAGGGUUCAUUACACACUUGAUUGAACGAGUCACACAUUCUUUUUAAACUAUGUAGUGGUAUUGCAUCAUAGGCAUAUUAAGCAGGGUUCAUUACACAAUUGAUUGAACGAGUCACACAUGCACCUUGGUUAUUACAGCAUUGAUAAAGAGUAGUGAAAUCAUCUCCACAAAAAGAAAGGGGGAAAACAGUGAUCGUGGAUGGAGUGGCUAAUCGUCAUCUCGAUCUCAAUGCAUCCACUGUUCCAGAUGCUGGGACAAUCUUCGUGGUCGUCGCCGCCGUCGGUAACCACUGUAUUUUUUGAGCCUCACCUCACAAUUUGAGGGCAAAAUUCAGAAACAAAGAGAGGAAGUGGAUCGAGAGGACGGGAAGGAAGAAAAGCAUACCUGGCAGCAGCGGAUCCCACACCAGUGCUCUUCCAGGAUCCACUUGACACUGCUUCCCUGGCCCUGCUACGAGGAGGCAACAAAAUCAAGUUCAGUGUUCCUAUGGAACCUACAAUUGAUCAGAUCAGUAUAAUCGUGAGCAUCUAUAUGCAAGAGAGAGAACAUAAUUUGGUUCAUCAUGACCCACUUGCUGACCCGUUGCUAGAAAGCCAAGUAAAAUGACUUCAUUACGUGUGAUCUAGCUCUGUACUAAUAAACUAUGGAAGUGUUGGAAAGCUAAACAAAAUCCCAAAACGAUCCUCAUUAUUAAGCAUGGAUGAUUAGGGCUAAGUAACUUUUCGAUCAAUAGGGCAUGAUACAAAAAGUAAUGUAAUUAACAUGAAGACUCGCUUCAAAAUCAUCGAGAUGCUUUGUAGCAUCAAUGGAGAUGUUUGCCACUAUUGUAUUUGAAGCUUUCCUGAACCAGUUAAGUAUUCAACUCCGAGCUGAUCCUGGAUAAGAAGUUCAGGGAAAAAGAUACCAUCAUAAAUAUUUAGUAACUUGACUUGAAUAAAUCCUUCCUUCGUCAUUAAUUAAUCUAGUUAAUGCAUACAAUACACAGGUAGGUGAACUGUUGAUUGCUGAAAGUGCAUUGCACAUAUCUCCAAAUCAGCACUAUAAAUAGUACUGUUAUUAAAUUAGCACAACUAAAAAUAUAUUAAAUAAUAUGCAUGAAAAUGCUCAUGGAUUAAUUUAUCUAGCUUCUAUUGUCAAGAUAAUAGCUCUGCUCUCUUUAGUGGUGAAGUUUUUUCAUGAUACACGAGAUGAACAUCGAAAUAAAGAAACUGAAUUGAGAUCUUAUUUGGUCUGGCAUCCAGGUAAAAGGUGAACGCCAUACACCAACAACCAUGAACAUAAACGUAAAUAGAAGCAACAACAAUAAAAAAUCCUGAUAUUACCUACUGCCCCAACAAUUUAUCCUCAUGUUGGAUCCAUAACAGGGAGGAGAGACGAGAGGCAAGUUGUACCUGAGGCGCGCAUGCGACCAAGGGAACGCACGAACGAAUUGAUGAAGAACCCAAGGCUCACACGACGCCUCUGCUGCUCCUGCAGCACGCAUCCAUUUCAACAUCAUUCUUCACGAUGUCAAAGACGAGGGAGAGGCGGCUGCUUGGCCAACGACCAGCCACAACACCUUCACCAACCCGNNNNNNNNNNGCCAUACACCAACAACCAUGAACAUAAACGUAAAUAGAAGCAACAACAAUAAAAAAUCCUGAUAUUAC
rnacentral:lncRNA from 1 species